GUCCGCACGGUAAACGAUGGAUGCCCGCUGUUGGUCUGAACAGGUCAGAGGCCAAGCGAAAGCAUUAAGCAUCCCACCUGGGGAGUACGCCGGCAACGGUGAAACUCAAAGGAAUUGACGGGGGCCCGCACAAGCGGAGGAACAUGUGGUUUAAUUCGAUGAUACGCGAGGAACCUUACCCGGGCUUGAAUUGCAGAGGAAGGAUUUGGAGACAAUGACGCCCUUCGGGUCUCUGUGAAGGUGCUGCAUGGUUGUCGU
rnacentral:rRNA from 1 species